UUUUUUUUUUUUUUUUUUUUUUUAAAAUUCUUAUUUUUUUUUCUUCCACCAUUCUUGAAACUUAGGGAGUGAGAUUGACUUGCAUAUAAUGCCUGUUCAAAUACAAUCAUGGCAGCGCAGUGACGGAGUCAAGAAUUUAGCAAAGGGUGUGUAAAUUUUCUUCCCAGUUAUGUUAAGGGUGUGAAAAAUUAAAUAUUUACUCAUAAUAGCUAACAUUUAAUCUUUGUAAACCACGUAACUACAAAGGGUGUUCAUCUGACCACCCUUCGUUCAAGAUGGCUCCGCCCAUUUGGCAGCGUCUCUUUUACGUUGUUCAAGUACAUCAAACUUGAACCCUCAAUAAUCCACUGGAAUCGAAAAGUCCAUUAAAGGUAUACUUCGAAAUUUCAUCUUGAAAAAAUUGAAAUUUGUUGUGAAGGUGUCCAUUUCUACUUUGUCAGUCAUUUCAUGACCAUUGAUGAUCGAAAAAUUAAGCUUCUCCGCAAAUUUCACAUCUGUUUAAUUUGUUACCAAAGAUUUAAUUUUUUGACAAUCUAUUCAUAUCUUUCUUACUUCUUGUUAAAGAUCGGCACUUACGAUCUUCUUCUCCACAAAUUUCAUACCUUAUUAUUUAUUGUAUCAGCACCUCCUUCCCUUAUGCCGCUAAAGAUUCAUUUUUUCAUAAUAGAGGUCAAAAUAUUUCUGUAAGAUGGGAGAAUUUUUUGAGAAAUUUAAGAUCAUAUUAAAUGGUGAUUUGCUUUUAGAAAAAGAAAGUCGUCAUCUUUAUUUGUUUUCAAAAUUAUGGAUAAAAAAGUAUAAGAAAUAUAAGCCUUCAUCUUUAUUUCUAUUGUUGAUGAUGCUACUUCUCAAUCAUCACUCCUCCACCAACCUAAGGAAAUAUAACCGAACUAAAUCGCCAAUCAUGGACAAGAUCUAGAAACCUAUCUACCAUCACUUGGUCGGAGGUGAUAUUUUAGGCAAAAAUGGUGGGUUUGUUAAGUAAGAGUAGGCGACGGAAUGAAUGCUAGGAGCGGAGAAGACAAAAAAACUGGAACUUGAAUCAUUUUUUCCCUUUUAUCUUUGAAAUUUGAGUUUAUAAAGAAUGAUUUUGUGUUCAAAUUUUCUGGUGAAUAUUUGAAAUCGUGAUUCUUAUGAAUUAAAACUAAAUUUACGAAGAAAUCAAGGGGAUAUAUUAUAACACAAUAGAAUCUGAUAGUGGAAGAUUUUUGACAUAAUUGAUGUUGAAAAUAUUUUGUAGUUCCUUGUUUUUGUGUUUAUUAAUAAUUUAGAAAUAAAAUUACUUUAAUUCAGAUAUUGGAAAACAAACGGUUUUAAUUAUUGAGCAUUUAGAUAUAGAGACAAUAUCUUAAGUUCUUAACUAUUAAAAUUUGUAUUCAAAUUCAGACCUCUUAAUGCUAAUAAAAAAAAAAUGUAGCCUAAGUCCCUUUUAUGCUCUGAAGGACGACACCUCGUCUAUGACCAUCUUUCUAUACUUCAAAGAAGUAUAAAUGAUCACCUUGUCUAAGUCCCUUCUAUACUUCAAACCGUAUACUAACUGCUUUCUAUGACAUAGUAUGAGAUUAGUAAAGAUAUGACUCCUGCACCUAACUCAAUUCCAAAAGCUAGAUUAUCGGGGAGGGAAUUAUCCAAGUCUACAUAAGCAAACUGUUAGAUCUUCAAUUAAAGUGGGACUUUCACCCAUUCUAAUACCCCCUUCACGCUCAAGGCUCAAUUCGACCGUGGACCGGGAGCACAAACGAGGAUGGAUUUGACUCUGAUAUCAUAUAUGAUAUGACAGUUGGCCUAACUCAACCCCAAAGCUAGCUCGGAGGUGGGAUUGUUCAAAUCCACAUAAGCAAACCUCAAUCCAUUCUCCAACCAAUGUGAGACUUUCACCCACUCUACCAAGAUUGAUAUAAUGCAAGUUAUGAUUUAUUACAAAUUUGUUCACGAAAUUCAUACAUAUAAGAACUUAUUCUAGAAAUGUCCUACAACAACAAUAAUGACAGUACUCAGUAAAUUUCAUAAGCAGGAUUUAGGGAGUGUAGAGUGUAUGUUGAUCUUACCACUACUUCUUAGCUCGGAGGUAGACAAGUUGUUUUUGAAGGAUCCUGGCUCAAGUAUACUAGAUCGGAUUUAAAAAAAAACAGUAAAAAAAUAUAUCAAUUAAUAAGUAAAGCAAUGCAAAACCUAUAAAAAAGGAACACUAAUAACUUGUUAAAGAUGAUAGAAUACUUACUUUGUUAAAGAUGAUAGAAUACUUCUUUAAAAUAACAAGAAAAUGAAACGGUAUGCAUACAUUUUUUUUUUUAACACAAUAUCAAAUAUAUCAUACAACAGAACAUUUCAUGACCAUGACCAACCAUCCAUAGGAACUAUUCAAUGGUUUUAUUCAUACAAGCAAAAGUUCUAAAUAAAGUAGCAAGAUUAUUAUGUUCUUGCUACUUCCAUUACAAAGGAUUACAUUAAUAAUACAUAAUUAAGCACUAAUUAAUUAGUUCUGUGGCUCAGAUUCAGUGGCUAUUCCCAAGGCCAUGUAUUCUUCAUAGGUGCAGCAUUUGUGAUAUUUGCAUUUAUGGUAACAUCCUUUAUGAUAGCCACCCUUUUUAUAGCCACCUCCGCCAUAGUAAUGGUCAACAUCUACUUCUUUUUCCGCUGCAUCGAUGAAUUGAGAAUAUUAAAACUAGUGAAUAUGCAUUGACUGAUCUUUGAAUUGAAAUUUCUUUUACUAUACAUAUAUUUAUAUAAAUUUUUUUGUUUUAAUCUGAUAUGUUUAAGUUCGCAAGAUUCAAAGGAUAUUUUAAUAUGUUCUACACACAUUUAUAUAAAUUGGUUCUUUUUUUUUUUUUUUUCUUUGGAAUGAAUUCAAUUACAUAAAGAGAAUGAAAGAUGGUACUUACAGUUGGGAGUCUCAGUCAAGUUGGGAGUCUCAGAUUCAGUGGCUAUUCCCAAGGCCAUGUAUUCUUCAUAGGUGCAGCAUUUGUGAUAUUUGCAUUUAUGGUAACAUCCUCCUUUAUGAUAGCCACCCUUUUUAUAGCCACCGCCGCCAUAGUAAUGGUCAACGUCUACUUCUUUCUCCGCUGCAUCGAUGAAUUGAGAAUAUUAAAACUAAUGAAUAUACACUGUCUAAUCUUUGAAUUGAAAUUUCUCUUACUAUACAUAUAUCUAUAUAAAUUUUUAGUUUCAAUAUAAUAUAUUUAAGUUCGCAUGAUUCAAAGGAUAUUUUAAUAUGUUCUACACACCUUUAGUUUAGUUUAUAAGGAUUGAAAAGUUUAUGCUAUAUUCUUCAAAUUCAUGCAUAGCGAGUGAGACAUAAAAUGAAGCAUAAGGAAGGUAUAUCAAGUGUCAUGAUCAAGCUAGUGUUAGUAAAACAUUAGCUUAUCGUCUAACAUUCAUAAAACCUUACAAAUUUUAAUUCAUGGUCUAAUUUUAUAUGCUGGACAUAUCUUUAAUAUGUUACUUUUUUUUUUAUUUAAAGUUAAUUACCCAGAGAUUCGAUGGAAAGAGCAAUAAAAACGCAUAAAGUAAUGCGUAAAGAUAUGCUAAUAUGCCUACAUAGUAACAUCAAUAGUUUUUUUUUUUUUUCUUCGAAUGAAUUCAAUUACAUAAUGAAAGAUAUACUUACUGUUGGGAGUCUCACUCAACUCCCUAGCUACUACUUCGGAGCUUAUCAUUAAGAAAAUAGCCAAAAAUAGGCCUAGCAAUAGAAAUGUUUUGGAACCCAUUCUUUUUUUAUUCCAAAGCUUAGUACUUAUAAUAACUCAAAAUUGAGGGAUGAAGAAACUGAUACAUUCUUGGGCUCUAUUUAUAGGAAGAUUUAUGUGCAUAAAUAAUUGAAGAGAGAUGUAAAACUAGGAGGGGGAGGGACAUGUAUUGGGAUGCAAUUAUUGUUGUGGACCAAAGAAACUUAACAACUUGGUCUACAAGUGAGUUAAAAGAGAUUGUUGAAUUAACUUACUCAAAUUUUUUUUUAAAGUGACAACUCUAACAAGUUUUGUUGUUACUAUAGUAAAGUUGUAAGUAUAUUCUUAAUCUUAAUCAAAUAUUUUAAACUUGAGUUUUGCAUAUGAAGAUCAUUUGUUGACAGUGUUUUAUCAUCUGAAACUUUUUGGUGUGUAUUCCAAAUUUAAUUUAGAUCUAAUACAAAUAUAGUGAUAUAUGAAUACUAGACAUCGAAUGAAACAUAAAAUAAAGUAAAAAAACAAGUCAUCUACAAAGUGUAGGCGUUGCAAGAAAAGUUUUCACAAUGUUCCAACUAAGAAAAUAAAACAAAAAAGAAAAUGAAGAACCUAACGGAUAUUGUGAGUGAUUUUGUUGAAUAUUUUGUCAAUUUGAAUUAUGACAAACGCUUUAUUAGUCACGCAAAUAUUAUGACUUAAUAAGGGUGUGUUUUGCAUGAAGAAAAAUGUUUUUUCAUGAAAUACAUUUUCAUAGAAAAUAUUUUCUCGAAAUAUAAGUGAUUUUUUUAGUUAAUUUUUGAUAAGUAAGUAAAACUGUAAAAGAAUAUUAUAAUAUUAAGAACAUUUAAAUAAAUCUCGCAAUAAGAGGGUUGGAGAAUGAGGGUGAACGGGUAAAAUACUCAAGGGUUGUAGGUGUUGGAAAGCAAAAUUGAAGUAGAUAAAUUUAAUAUUUAAGUUUUAAAAUAUGAAUGUUUGAAAACUCUGUAAAAAUGCUAUAAGCUACUCUCUUCGUUUUAAAUUACUUAACCUCUUUGUACUUGACCCACCCUUUAAGACGCAAAACGAUUGAAGGUGUAUUUUUACCCUUAUAUCCUAAUAUUUAAGCAAUGAUUAUGGAGCAGAAGCCAAAAAUCAAUUUAUUUGAAAAAUUAGAUUUAUUAAACAAAAAUGACUAUGGAGUAGUACUAAAAGGGAGCAAGGAUCGUUUACAUUUAAAUGACUUUGGAAUUAAAUAAUUCUAUUUUUAAAAUUUUUAGAAAGUAUAAUGCUUAAUAGGGAUGAAAGUGAAAAAAGAAAUCUAAAAUAAUCUCAAUUUUAUAAACAUGAUAAGUAAUUUAAAAUAAAUAAAUAUAAAAAAUAGGCCAAAAAAUUUAAAAGAGAAAGAAUAUAAUAAUAUUAAUAUAAUAGAAAAAAUGCAUCUUAAGUUGUUAGUAAUUCAUCUGCAAUGAAACACCGUUAAAGUAGAUUUGGGUUGGUGGCCCAGAAAUUAAUGCACGUAGAAAAUUUCAAAGUCUUACUUAUCAACAGAGGCGGACGUAGAGUAGAAGCAAAAAUCCAUAUCUGUUAUUGUAAGACUUAAAAUUAUAUAGAGAAAUCGUUAAAAGUUAUAAAUAUUAAUAGGUAAGAACCAUAACUAAACCAAAGGAUAGCUUAGUGGCAAGAAAAGAGCCCUUAAAAAUCCACAAAUUCAAAAUUUUGAAUCCGCCUAUGCUUAUCAAUUGACUUAUCAAAGGCUCUUCCAUCUUGCUCUGCUGCCACAUCACUUAAUCUUCUCCAAAAAAAUAUUUUUCAUGAAAAAUAAUAUAAUUCCACCCAAUGACAAAUAUUAUUGGCAUAUAUAAGGUGUGUUCGUUAUGAUACUUUUUAAAAAAUAAUUUUUUAAAAUAAAACUAGAAAAAACAAAUUUUACUAACAAAACUUAUCUUCACCAACCCAUCCCCAUUCCCCAUCAAUCCAUAUUCCAUACCCCCACCGUCAUCUAGCACAUGGAUGGCACCACCUUCUUCUUAGGCGAAAGGUGGCUCAGUGCAUACUAUUUAUCAAAAAAUAAUGUGUUCUACUAAAAUUAAAGAUUAGUUAUUAUGAAUAUUUAUUUAAUUUUACAUAAUUAAAAAAGAUUUACACACACUUCAUUAAUAUAAUAUCCCUUGACUUACCUAUCGAACUCAAUAAAAUAAGUACCUACAUAUUUCUUUGAGAUCUAAUACAUCCAAUGUCAUAAUUCAUUCAAUAUUAAUAUAUAAUUAGAUAUAUAUUUUCGUAUUUAUUUUUAAAAAUUUGCCCAACUUGUAAGUUGUAGGACUACCUUAUCCUAAAAUAUCUAGAAGUAGUGGUGCAUACAUACUCUUUGAUAUAGUCAAUAUUUAGAGAAUUAAAUGACGAAUUCAAUGACUCUUUUAGUGUACGAUCAAGUUUAAAUAAGAGGGGACAAAUCUCUUCGAUUUGAUUAAAACUGGAGAAAAGUCUUCCAGAAAAGACCCAACAAUACAACAAUAAAAAUUCUUAUUUGUUUGGCCUAAUGCAUGGUAGAGUCAGAAUUUCUAGUAAAUGGAUUUUAAAAAUAAUUAACCAUGUUAAUAGGACUUUAAAAAUAAAUAGAUCAAAUUUGAUUUGAGUAAGUUAGACAAAGUUUCAACUUUACCUCAACAUGAAUAACAAAAUAUAGAAAGUUAAACUUUUUUAUUUUGAUCAUGCGGUCAAACAUACAAUCUUUAAAUUUUUUUUUAAAAUAAAUUACAUAUUUAGAAAUUACAUAAAAAGUAUAAUAAAUUACCAGAAUUGAAUUUUACGUUUAAGUUGUUUAUACAUUAACAUAAUAAACUAAUACUAAUUUUCUCUUAAUUUUAAGAAGAGAAGAUCUAAAAUAUUUUAAAUCAGUCAAAAUAGAUAAACAACAAACAAAAGUAUAAUUUUGUGAAAAAAAAAAAGUUAACCAUCAAAUUAAUAACCUGAAAAGUGAGAGAUAAGAGAAAUCAAAAGAGGGACAGAAUGUAAGAGAACAAGAAAGUAAUUAAGUAACUAGAAAUUUAAUCCCAAAGCUAAUAUAGAAGAUACAAAAAAAUGAUGUUAUUCAGACUCGAAUGCACGCUGAAUCAGAAAUUUUGCACCCUUCACCAUUGAACUAAGCUUUAGCCUUCUUUUCGAUGGUGGAAGGACCACGCUAGUCCUUUGAGUGUGUGGUGUGUAGUGGGUGCGUCUUAGUGUCUUCUUACUACGUGUCAAUGGGAUUCGGUGCUUAACAUAUAUACAAUAAAUCAAAAUUUUGAUUGUAUAUACACAGUGUAAUUUUUUGAAGAAGGGGGGUCGAUGAACCCCUGGACUCCAUGUAGAUCCGACAUUGCCUAAUAGAGUUUAUAUAUGUGUGUAUGUAUAUAUAUACACACACACUCAUAUACACACAUAUAUAUAUAUUGAUGGCAUAAAAUAUUCGUAUAUUAUUUAUUCAUCUUUAAAAUGUUUAUAAUUACUUUUUAGUAUUUAUGUUUUAGAGGAUGCACAGAAGACACAUAAAAUUUCAUAUUUUUAACACAAGUAUCUUAAUUCCUAAGUUGAUGAGGAAAAAAAAAAUGAGCAAGACAUAAGUCAACAGAGAUAUAUUUAGACUUAGAGGUCGUUUAAUAGAGUGUAUUAAAAUGUUAAUGCAUACAUUGGUUUAAUGUCUAUUAGUAGUACCUUGUUUGGUAUACCUUUUUAUCCUAUGUAUAACUAAUGCAAACAUUAGUUAUACACUCUAUUGUGUAUUAAGGUGUAUAUUACUAAUAACUCAAAAUUCAUGCAUUAACAUACUUAAAGACUCAAUUAUCCCUCAAAAAUUUUUUUGCAUCUUUUCCAACAUAUAUAUUGAGGGUAUUAUGUAAAAAAAAAAUUUUUUUUUAGAAAUUAUGUAAUUCAUGUUUUUUUAAUACAUCGAAGCAAACACUAUAUAAGAAAAAUAUAAAUAUAACUAAUACAAAUAUUAUUAAUACUAGCAUUACUAAUAUAUUAUAUUUUGUAUUAUUGUUAUACAUUUUACCAAACGAUCUCAUAGUGAUGGAGAGAGAAAUACUGUUUUGGAUCUUAUUGCUCCACGAUAUGAGAGAAUUUUCUAAAAGCUGACAUGAGCCACUAGUGCUUUUUUCUGCAUAAUACACAUAUAUUCUCACAUGCAAGUGUACAAGUAGGACCCAUAAGAGUGCAAGAGGAUUUAGCAUUCUUCAUACCAAACUUCUCAAGGAGCUCUUUGGUAUAUUUAUUUUGGCAAAGAAAGGUCCCCUCAGAUGACAGAUGUAUUUGCCAACUCAAAAUGAAUGUUGAUUUUUCUAUUAGAAUUUCCUUGCAUUAGAACAAAAUUUUUUUGCAUAAGACAAUAUUAUUACUUCCAAAGAUAACAUCAUAGAUCUGAAUAAUUAAGUUUUCAGAGGAAAUUCUUAUGAUAAAAGGAGUUGUAUUAAUUUCUUUUUUUAAAAAAAUAAAAUUGCGAUAAAGAAAUUGAUCUAUUUAUCAUAUCAAGCUCGAGAAGCUUGUUUUUAAAUCACAGAGAAUUUUUUGAAAGUUUAAAAACAUGAUUGGAAACCUAUGAUUUUCAAAACCUGAGGUUUUUACAAAAACUUAAUAAACCCAUUUAAAAACAUCCAUUUAAACAAGAUUUGAAUAGAUUCUAACCUUGUAACUGUUGCAAAAGUUUUAUCAUAAUUGUCUCCCUCUUGUUGUGAGUAGCCUUGAGCUAUUAGACAAACUUUUUUCUCCCAUAACUUUAUCUGAUUCAUUCAUCUCAUUUGGUUAUAAUGAUUAAGGCAUUCUCUAGUCCACACAUUAUUUUUAUCAAUUUGCUCGAGCUCUUUUUUCAUUGUUUUGACCCAAUAAUCAUCUUUUGAAGUCGCAUUCACUUUCAUUAGAUCAAGUUGAGAUAUGAAGGCAAUAUUUGCAUGUCUUUAACUGGAAUCUCUUAUAAGCCAUUAUUUUGAUCAUCUUAAUUAAGUGAUCGAUCAUGUUCACUUUGGAAUUGCUCCAAGUUCAAUUUGAUGCUUUAGAGGCAGCAGUUAAGCAGACAAUAAACUUAGUAGUAGAGUCAACAACAUUUCCCCCCUAUUAUUAUGAACAAAGCAUUUGUAUGAAAGUGCACAAUGUUGGGCCUUUGGUUGUUUCAAAUUUUGUAAAGAGUUUUCUUAAAUAAAUCUGCUGAGGCAUUUAUUGCUUUGCCAUUGGAGCUAUCUGUAAAACAUACUUCAAAAUCAUUUUCUUCUUCAAAUAAGCUUUGUACCCUGUGAAUUGAAUUUCCACUUUCAAGCUUCCAUUUCCUAUUAGCUUUUGAGUGGAGUUCCUGCAAAAUAAUUAUAUUACUUAUUUCUAUGUACCCAAGUGUUCUUAGGUAUCCCAUGGUUAGUUAAAUGUGUUGACUCAAUUUUGAGUCUCCAAAUUCAUUUGCUAGAAUUUCUAGAUCGAAAUCUGCAAUUAUAGUAUUUGUAAUUCGGUUUACCACGGUGAUAAUAAGAAGUAAGUAUUGUUCAGUGACUGCAUAAUAGGUAUUAUAAUUGUGAGUAGUUCUUUUAAUCGAUCGACUCGAGUUUAUUGACCGUUGAGAUCCUUCAUAGCUAUAGAAUCUACUAUUACAAGUUCCAGUGUCACAUUUGUCAGUUGACUGCGUCAACUGAAUUGAUCUGACAAUACUAUGACUUGUAGAUUUCGAAAGUCAUUAAUUUUAAUUUUUAAAUCAUCAACUUCUUAAUAUAAAUAAUUUUUUUCGAUUUCAUAAACUUCAAGUUUAAGUUUUCAGUCUCUUCUCUCUCUUAAUAAAGCCCUUUUUCUCAUCAUGGGCUUUAUUUCGAUCCGCGCUGGCAAGAUCUAACAGAUUUUACAGUUUAGAACAUUCAUUAUAGGAAUUGGUUCUUACCUAACUAGACUUUUCAAUUUUCAUGAAAUAACAGUCUCCAAUACUAUUGUUAUCAUGGUCGACUUGUUCUUUAUCAUCUUAGCCUUUUGAUUUUUUUUUUUUUCAUGGACUCUACAUGAAUAGAUUUCAAUUUGUUUCAUAUUUCUUUAGUUGUUUACAGGUGGAUAUUUUCUCACAUUCUUUUCCACUAAGAGCACAACGAAGCAAGUAGAUUGCCCUAACAUUUGUUUGCACAAUAUCCAAAUGUUCUUUUGUGUAGUCAAAUGUGACGGUCUUUUUUUCAAAUUUCUUUUCAUUAUUUUUCAAAAUCUGCCUUGGCCCAUUUUGAAUAACUAGUCAUGCUUUAUAAUUUGUUGAUUGAACGUAAGUGUUCAUUUUUGUGUUUCACUGACUAUAGUAUAGACUGUUAAGGAAGGUUGAUUGGCUUAUUGAAAGUCCCUCUUGAAAUAUGACUUCAGUAAUUUGAUAUUCUGCCAUGAAUCUGUAUUCAUUUUUUGUUAAGCAAAAACGGAGAUGUGAGACGAGGCUUUGAUAUCAAUUGAAAGUAGUAAGACGAGGAAAGGGGUGAAUUACUCUUGUUUUGACCAAACAAUCGACUUCAUUCAACAAUUAGUCGACUAUUGAUUGUAGUAAUAAAGUGUUCAGGAAAUAAGGAGCUGAAGAUAAAAUUAAACUAGAUAUUUGAUACUAAUUGAGACCUCUAAUUGGGUUUUACUUCAAUCUCCUUGGAUUGCAAGGGAUUCUACUAGUUCUUUAUGAAUAAAAUCAAAGUACAAGAUUGAGUCAAGUUUUUUGACUUUGACUCACCCUCUCUUCUUUUCUUUCAUACUUCGAUACAAUGUCUCAUCAAAUAUGUGUUUCUCUCCUCGAUCUCUUUUUAAGUACACAGUAAACGUUUAAGAGAAUACAUUGCUUGAGUAAAGUAGAGCAAAGAACUAGAAAAAAUUGAGACAAGUGUAUAUCUCUUUCUUAGUUUUUCAUUGCUUAAAUAGUACUGAUUAGACUACUACUAAUCAUUGAAAAAUAUGAGGCAACCCAAGAAUUUUUUUCCUUGAAAAUAAGAUAAAAAAAUCUUAUUUUCAAGAAUAGAAUGAAUCAUAUUAAUGAUUCCAAACUAUCCAUAAUAUUAUUUCAUAGAACUAGUCACACGCUUAAUGAAAUAUCAUGUUGUGGUACUUCUUUUCAUAGUGAUGCGGAUUUGUGAUUACCCUUGAAAGAGGAUACAUGUUUCUUUUCCCUUUUUAAAUUGAUUCUUUGAAAAAAAAAUUAUUUGCAGCCAAUUUUCCUUUUUAAUUGUAGUGAAGAAUAUUUGAUACUAUUUUCAGAGAUCGGGCUUUCUGAUUUGUAGCCACUUUUUCUUUUUAUUGUACCCAAGAAUCUUUGACAUCAAUAUACCUGCAGAGGAAGUCAUAUAUUAAAACAUCAGAUUAUCACAAAUCUCCGAUACCCAACAUAUUAUUUCUAUAAUAUGAAUUUUCUUCUUGGGUACAAAAUUUUAGAACAAAAAUGUCUGAACAGAUCGAGCAACAAUGAAAUUAGCUAUCCUCAUUGUUAAUUUAAAGCUAAAUUACUUGUAAUUAAUUAACAAACUUUUCAAUGAUUUAUUGCUAAUCCUUAGUCAAGUAAGAUUAACAAUAAUGCAUUAGCGAAGAAUCUUGUUAUUUUGCUAUAAAUUAAUUUGUCCAUCUUUAUUUUCUAGUAAUGAUAUUCUAAUUUUAAUGUUGUCCAAUUUGUAAUCAUUCCCCCUAAUUAUCUUCUCUAUCAAUCGACGAUAUUGUUGCAACUGAACAAUUGAAACCAUUAAAACUCAAUGAGACACCAAUAUAUGCUUGGACGGAUGAUCACCUUGUCUAUGUCCUAUUUACACUUCAAAGAAAUAUAAUUAAUCACCUUGGGUGUGUUUGGUACGAAGGAAAACAUUUUCCAGAAAAUGUUUUCCAAUUUUGUUGUGUUUCGUUGGCUUAUAUGUUUUGAAAAAUAUUUUUCAAACCAACUUAUUGUUCUUAAAUCUAAGGAAAAUGACUUCCUUCAAAGAGUAAGGAAAACAUUUUCCAAAACUCUCAUUCAAUCUCACUUUAAAGUUGAAAUAUUCGUACAAUUCUCAAAAUCAUCUAACUCGCCCCCUUGCCUCUCCCCCAAUACCCUAUCACCCCGACACUACCCCUACCCCCACCCCCAAAAUUUCAUUAUUUUAAAAAGUAUUUCAAAAUUUUUUCUUAAUCCAUCCCUUACCUCCACCCCACCCCUCUUCCAAAAAACAAUAUCUACAUUUUACUAAAAAAUUCAAACUUUUCUCUUAUCCCCCUUCCCUCCCCCCACCAGCCUCUCUCCCAUCCCUCCAUCCCAUAACCUAAAGAAAAAAAUUAAAUUUAUUUUUAAAAAAAUUUCAAUUUUUUUCCUCCCCCUUCCCCCUUCCCCCUCACUCCCCUAUCCUGACCCCUAGCUCCAGGGACGGACCCACGUGUAAUUUUGGAGUGCUUCGACACCCACUAAAUUCGACGUAGAUUAGGUAUAAUUAUAUAAAAAAUACAGAAUAAAUGGUAUAAUUUAUUAAAAAGCACCCAGAGAACAAACAUAUGGUUAGGUGUUCCCCCUCCCCCUCCCCCUAAAUUCAAUUUUUUUUCUUAUCCCGCCCCUACUACCUAUUCUGACACCCCCACCCACUCACCAACCAAUCCCCUUCCCAAAAAAAGAUUUAAUUUUUUUAUUUUUUAUUUAAAAAGGAUUCUAAAAUGUAUUUUUACGCUUUAUCUAAACACUAAUAUGUAUUUUUUGAAAAAUAUUUUUUCAUUCACCAACCAAAUAUUAGAAAUUCUCCAACCAAACAUGAAAAAUAAGUAAGAAAUUAACUUGUUUUCCAAGAAAAUAUUUUCUAGAAAAACAUUUUCAAUGGAAAACAUUUUCCUUCGUACCAAACACACCCAAGUCUAAGUCCAUUCUAUACUUCAAAGCAUAUAUACUAAUUGCUUCCUAUGACAUAGUAUGAGAUUUGUAAAGACCUGACACCUGGAUUUAAUUUAAUCCUAUGAACACACCCAAGUCUAAGUCCAUUCUAUACUUCAAAGCAUAUAUACUAAUUGCUUCCUAUGACAUAGUAUGAGAUUUGUAAAGACCUGACACCUGGAUUUAAUUUAAUCCCAAAAGUUAGAUAAUGUGAGAGGAUUGUCUAAAUUCAUAUAAGCAAACCUUCAAUCCAUUUUUCAUUUAACGUGGGACUUUUACUCACUCAAACAUUCUUUUCAUGCCUAGGGCCCAACUGACACGUAGAUUGGGAGACCAAACUAGGAUGAACUUCACUCUGAUACCAUAUAAAAAUAUGACACCUGCACCUAACUCAACCACAAAGCUAGCUCAUGGGAAGAGGAUUGUCCAAAUCCAUAUGUGUUGGGUUCGAAAUCGAGAGGGCGUCAUGCGGAAGCUAUUAGUUGCAAACUAUGAGACGAUAAAUAAGAUGACAACGAAAAACAAUACUAAAAACAUAAUUUUAUUAUAUGAUUUGGCCAAUUGGCCUACAUAUAAAACCUAAUAUUAAAAAAUAUAAAACUGAGAAAAUCUCCCCCUAAACGAAAAUCUUAAAAGACUACAUUGUGGAUGCUAUUAUUGUGUUAUGGUAUGAGAAGGGAUUUUCUAUUUAUAGAUAUCCAAAACCUUUCCUCCAAGAAAGAGGCUAGGCAAAUAUGGAAAAGAAUUAUAUUGUUUCCUUUCGAGAAAAGUAAAAGUAAUUAUGGUAACUUUUAUUUUCCUUCUAAGAAAAAGUAAAACUUAAAUAUAGUAAGAAAAUCAGGGCAAAAACCCUAACAAGACUUUCACCCACUUAAUUAACAAGAUUGAUGUAACGACAGUUAUGAUUUAUUUACAAAUUUGUUCUAGAAAUUCAUACGUAUUAGAAUUUAUUCCAGAAAUAUCCCUCGGCAAUAAUAAUAACAUACUUAGAACAUUCCCCCUCACGUGCUGACUUAUUUUUUUGGUCAUGGGUCAAGCACAUGAAAAUUCUUUUUAAUAAUGGGUGGCAGUGAGAUUCGAUUCCAGGACCUCUGCCUGCUCUAAUACCAUGUUGAAGUUUGUAACCAUCUAAUUUAAAAGUUUAAGUUGUUAGAGAGAGCACACUUUUAUUAUUUAAUUAUAUUCUCACCAGAGAAAUUGUUUUUGAAGGACCCUUGGCUCAAGGAUACCAACUCCAAGUAAAAAAAAAAAAUAAUGAGUAAAAAACAUAUCGAUUAAUAAGUAAAGCAAUGCAAAGCCUGCCAAAAAACGAACAAUAACAACAACAUAAUGAAAAGAAAUAUUUAAUAAGUUAAAGAUGAUAUAAUAAAUACUUUAAAAUAAGAUGAAAAUGAAAAGUAAACUUUACGAAAACAUUUUUUUUUUCAACACAAUAUAAUAUAUAUCAUACAACAGAACAUUACAUGACCAUGACCAACCAUCCAUAGGAACUAUUGAAUGGCUUUAUUCAUACAAGCAAAAGUUCUAAAGUUGCAAGAUUUUUAGGGUUUUGCCACUUAUAUUACAAAGGAUUACAUUAAUAAUACAUAAUUAAGCACUAAUUAAUUAGUUCUGAGGCUCAGAUUCAGUGGCUAUUCCCAAGGCCAUAUAUUCCUCAUAGGUGCAGCAAUGGUGAUAUUUGCAUUUAUGGUAACAUCCUUUAUGUUUAUAUCCUCCACCCUUAUAAUAAUGGUCACCUCCAACACCAUCAACGUCUACUUCCUUCGCUGCUGCAUCGAUGAAUUGAGAAUAUUAAAACUUAUGCAUAUCUAUUGAUGACUGAUCUUUGAAUUGAAAUUUCUAUUUAUGUGUUGUACUUUUCAUUUAAUUUUGUUAUAGUUUUAAGAUAAUUUCUAUCAUGACUAUAUAUAUAUGUAAAUAAAUUUUUUGUUUCAAUCUGAUAUGUUUAAGAUCACAAGAUUCAAAGGAUAUUUUAGUAUGUUCUACACACUUUUAGUUUAGUUUGGAUUGAAAAGUUUAUGCUAUAUUCUUCAAAUUCAUGCAUAGUGACUGAGACAUAUAAAAUGAAGCAUAAGGAAGGUAAAUUAAGUGUCAUGAUCAAGCUAGUGUUAGUAAAACAUUAGGUUAUCAUCUAACAUUCAUAAAACCUUACAAAUUUUAGUUCAUGGUCUAAUUUUAUAUGCUGGACGUAUCUUUACUAUGUCACUUUUUUUAUUUAAAUUCAAUUACCCAGAUAUUCGAGGCAAAGAGCGAUGAAAACACAAAGUAAUGCGUAAAGAUAUGCUAAUAUAACACAGUAACAUCAAUUGUUUCUUGUUUUUUUUUUUUUUUCAAUGAAUUCAACUACAUAAAGAGAAAAUGAAAGAUGAUACUUACAGUUGGGAGUCUCAGAUUCAGUGGCUUUUCCCAUGGCCACAUAUUCUUCAUAGGUGCAGCAUUUAUGAUAUUUGCAUUUAUGGUAACAUCCUUUAUGAUAGCCACCCUUUUUAUAGCCACCUUUGCCACCAUAGUAAUGGUCAAGAUCUACUUCUUUCUCCGCUGCAUCGAUGAAUUGAGAAUAGUAAAUCUAAUGCAUAUGCACUGACUGAUCGUUGAAGUGAAAUUUCUCUUAUUAUAAAUUAUGGCUGUCAAGUGGGCCGGGCCAACCUGGCCCUACUCGGCCCACUUAAAUAAAUCAGCCCAGUAAGCCCUAUGGCUUUAGGGUUUCAGGUCCCGGGCCGGUUAUUUUUUUAAUUUGGGCCUGGUUAACCCGACUCGGACCUAGCUCGGUCCAGGCCCGUCGGUUAACCGACCCCGCCCAGCCCGGAGUCUUUUUAUUUUUUUAAAUAAUUAUUUUUUUGUAUAAAUUAGUAUAUAACUAUACAAAUAUAUAUUCUAAUGUGUGUGUGUGUAUAUAUAUAUAUAUAUUAUAAUAUAUUUCAUUUAAUGUAUUACAUAUACAUAGAGUAGAGUGUAUAUAUGUGAAUAGAUCUUCUAUAGAAGUGUAUAUUUAACGUAUACAUGUUUAUAUAUUUUAUAAA
rnacentral:lncRNA from 1 species